AGAGUUUGAUCAUGGCUCAGAUUGAACGCUGGCGGCAGGCUUAACACAUGCAAGUCGAGCGGUAACAGAGAGUAGCUUGCUACUUUGCUGACGAGCGGCGGACGGGUGAGUAAUGCUUGGGAAUAUGCCUUUAGGUGGGGGACAACAGUUGGAAACGACUGCUAAUACCGCAUAACGUCUACGGACCAAAGGGGGGGAUCUUCGGACCUCUCGCCUAUAGAUUAGCCCAAGUGAGAUUAGCUAGUUGGUGAGGUAAAGGCUCACCAAGGCGACGAUCUCUAGCUGGUUUGAGAGGAUGAUCAGCCACACUGGGACUGAGACACGGCCCAGACUCCUACGGGAGGCAGCAGUGGGGAAUAUUGCACAAUGGGCGCAAGCCUGAUGCAGCCAUGCCGCGUGUGUGAAGAAGGCCUUCGGGUUGUAAAGCACUUUAAGCAGUGAGGAAAGGUUGAUGGUUAAUAGCCAUCAGCUGUGACGUUAACUGCAGAAUAAGCACCGGCUAACUCCGUGCCAGCUACAGCGGUAAUCCGGAGGGUGCAAGCGUUAAUCGGAAUUACUGGGCGUAAAGCGCGCGUAGGCGGCUAUUUAAGCUAGAUGUGAAAGCCCCGGGCUCAACCUGGGAACUGCAUUUCGAACUGACAAACUAGAGUUUUGUAGAGGGUGGUAGAAUUUCAGGUGUAGCGGUGAAAUGCGUAGAGAUCUGAAGGAAUACCAGUGGCGAAGGCGGCCACCUGGACAAUAACUGACGCUCAUGUACGAAAGCGUGGGGAGCAAACGGGAUUAGAUACCCCGGUAGUCCACGCCGUAAACGAUGUCAACUAGCCGACUGACCCCUGAGCACUGGGUGGCGCAGCUAACGCAUUAAGUUGACCGCCUGGGGAGUACGGCCGCAAGGUUAAAACUCAAAUGAAUUGACGGGGGCCCGCACAAGCGGUGGAGCAUGUGGUUUAAUUCGAUGCAACGCGAAUAACCUUACCUACUCUUGACAUCCAGAGAAUUUGGCAGAGAUGCUUUAGUGCCUUCGGGAACUCUGAGACAGGUGCUGCAUGGCUGUCGUCAGCUCGUGUUGUGAAAUGUUGGGUUAAGUCCCGCAACGAGCGCAACCCCUAUCCUUAUUUGCCAGCACUUCGGGUGGGAACUUUAAGGAGACUGCCGGUGACAAACCGGAGGAAGGUGGGGACGACGUCAAGUCAUCAUGGCCCUUACGGGAUGGGCUACACACGUGCUACAAUGGCCAGUACAAAGAGUUGCGAUACCGCAAGGUGGAGCCAAUCUCAUAAAGCGUCUCUCAGUUCGGAUUGGAGUCUGCAACUCGACUCCAUGAAGCUGGAAUCACUAGUAAUCGUAGAUCAGCAAUGCUACGGUGAAUACGUUCCCGGGUCUUGUACUCACCGCCCGUCACACCAUGGGAGUUGAUUUCGCCCGAAAUUGGGAAGCUAACCUUCGGGAGGCUACCACUUACGGUGGAAUUAGCGACUGGGGUGAAGUCGUAACAAGGUAACCGU
rnacentral:rRNA from 1 species